AUGAAGAGAUGGUUCUUCAAAGUACUGGUUUCUUCAUCAUCUUCUUGGAUUAUUAGUCUUCAGGUGAUUGAGAGAGUGAAAGAAGGUAAAAGUUUGGAGGAACUGCGGGCUCAAACUGUUGCUCAAUUUAAUCAACAUAUAGGAUAUCAAUAUGCUAAUAAGUUAUCUAAGAAAAGGAAAGCCAUUAGAAUGUUUGAGGAAGAAAACAUCAAGUGUUUGCUUAGGGUAUGUUUGAAUUUACUUAUCUGA